rnacentral:pre_miRNA from 1 species
UUCGUUCUUGUCUCUGGCGCGGCAGUCAGAAUUCGGGACGAGCCCGGAGCGGUGGCUUGUCCCGAAUUUUGACUCGGCCAAAUGAAAACCAGAACGUA